UAAAUAUCACAACUGCAUCGAAGUUUCUCAACCUCUGUUGAAGUUAUCUUGUUGGAAAUCGGUUGGAAUCUUGUUGGAAAUCGUUAACCUCUCGCUAUUUGUUGAGGAAAAACUUGUGCAGACCCUUUCAAACACAAUUGUAAAGAUUAUAUGCUGUUUGAAAUAAAUUUACGCUAAAGCCUGACUUCCAAAGAUUAUUGUAAAGACUAUACGCUGUUUAAAUUAAAGCUACACUAAAGUCUGUUUAUUUGAAGGAGUAUUCGUUGUUUGAAAUAAAGGAAAAAAUUAUGGGAUAUUUCGAAAAAGUAGAGUUAUGAUCUUAUUUAAAGAACUAUGCGAAAGUAAAUUUCAGAACUGUCAAAAGUGCUAUUAUUGUGUAAGGGUCAAGUUAACCUUAGCAAAAUUAAUACUGGACUAUAUUGAAGCUGAUUUCUUUCAUUUUAUUCGUGGAAAGAUACAAAGAAAGGACCAUUUUUGAAUUAAAGACAA